rnacentral:rRNA from 1 species
UACGGAAGGCAGCAGUGGGGAAUAUUGCACAAUGGGCGCAAGCCUGAUGCAGCCAUGCCGCGUGUAUGAAAAAGGCCUUUCGGGUUGUAAAGUACUUUCAGUCGUGAGGAAGGUGUUAAGGUUAAUAACCUUAGCAAUUGACGUUAGCGACAGAAGAAGCACCGGCUAACUCCGUGCCAGCAGCCGCGGUAAUACGGAGGGUGCGAGCGUUAAUCGGAAUUACUGGGCGUAAAGGGCACGCAGGCGGUUAAUUAAGUUGGAUGUGAAAUCCCCGGGCUUAACCUGGGAAUGGCAUUCAAGACUGGUUAGCUAGAGUCUUGUAGAGGGGGUAGAAUUCCAUGUGUAGCGGUGAAAUGCGUAGAGAUGUGGAGGAAUACCGGUGGCGAAGGCGGCCCCUGGACAAAGACUGACGCUCAUGUGCGAAAGCGUGGGGAGCAAACAGGGAUUAGAU